rnacentral:rRNA from 1 species
GCACAAGCGGUGGAUGAUGUGGUUUAAUUCGAUGCAACGCGAAAACCUUACCCACCUUUGACAUGGCAGGAAUCCUAGAGAGAUUUGGAGUGCUCGAAAGAGAACCUGCACACAGGUGCUGCAUGGCUGUCGUCAGCUCGUGUCGUGAGAUGUUGGGUUAAGUCCCGCAACGAGCGCAACCCUUGCCAUUAGUUGCUACGAAAGGGCACUCUAAUGGGACUGCCGGUGACAAACCGGAGGAAGGUGGGGAUGACGUCAAGUCCUCAUGGCCCUUAUAGGUGGGGCUACACACGUCAUACAAUGGCCGGUACAGAGGGUAGCCAACCCGCGAGGGGGAGCCAAUCCCACAAAGCCGGUCGUAGUCCGGAUCGCAGUCUGCAACUCGACUGCGUGAAGUCGGAAUCGCUAGUAAUCGCGGAUCAGCAUGUCGCGGUGAAUACGCUCCCGGGUCUU